rnacentral:tRNA from 1 species
GGUGAAGUGGGUGAGUGGCUGAAACCGCACCCCUGCUAAGGGUGUAUACGUUAACGCGUAUCGAGGGUUCGAAUCCCUCCUUCACCG